UGGGGAAUAUUGCACAAUGGGCGCAAGCCUGAUGCAGCCAUGCCGCGUGUGUGAAGAAGGCCUUCGGGUUGUAAAGCACUUUCAGCGAGGAGGAAGGGUUCAGUGUUAAUAGCACUGUUCAUUGACGUUACUCGCAGAAGAAGCACCGGCUAACUCCGUGCCAGCAGCCGCGGUAAUACGGAGGGUGCAAGCGUUAAUCGGAAUUACUGGGCGUAAAGCGCACGCAGGCGGUUUGUUAAGUCAGAUGUGAAAUCCCCGCGCUUAACGUGGGAACUGCAUUUGAAACUGGCAAGCUAGAGUCUUGUAGAGGGGGGUAGAAUUCCAGGUGUAGCGGUGAAAUGCGUAGAGAUCUGGAGGAAUACCGGUGGCGAAGGCGGCCCCCUGGACAAAGACUGACGCUCAGGUGCGAAAGCGUGGGGAGCAAAACAGGAUUAGAUACCCUGGUAGUCCACGCUGUAAACGAUGUCGACUUGGAGGUUGUGCCCUUGAGGCGUGGCUUCCGGAGCUAACGCGUUAAGUCGACCGCCUGGGGGAGUACGGCCGCAAGGUU
rnacentral:rRNA from 1 species